UGGGGAAUUUUGGACAAUGGGCGAAAGCCUGAUCCAGCAAUGCCGCGUGUGUGAAGAAGGCCUUCGGGUUGUAAAGCACUUUUGUCCGGAAAGAAAUCCUUGGCUCUAAUACAGUCGGGGGAUGACGGUACCGGAAGAAUAAGCACCGGCUAACUACGUGCCAGCAGCCGCGGUAAUACGUAGGGUGCAAGCGUUAAUCGGAAUUACUGGGCGUAAAGCGUGCGCAGGCGGUUUGCUAAGACCGAUGUGAAAUCCCCGGGCUCAACCUGGGAACUGCAUUGGUGACUGGCAGGCUAGAGUAUGGCAGAGGGGGGUAGAAUUCCACGUGUAGCAGUGAAAUGCGUAGAGAUGUGGAGGAAUACCGAUGGCGAAGGCAGCCCCCUGGGCCAAUACUGACGCUCAUGCACGAAAGCGUGGGGAGCAAAACAGGAUUAGAUACCCUGGUAGUCCACGCCCUAAACGAUGUCAACUAGUUGUUGGGGGAUUCAUUUCCUUAGUAACGUAGCUAACGCGUGAAGUUGACCGCCUGGGGAGUACGGUCGCAAGAUUAAAACUUAAAGGAAUUGACGGGGUCAUAGCUGUUUCCU
rnacentral:rRNA from 1 species